rnacentral:rRNA from 1 species
GACCCGUCUUGAAACAMGGACCAAGGAGUCUAGCAUGUGUGCGAGUCAUUGAGAUCAAAUCUAAACUGAAAGGCGCAACGAAAGUGAAGGCGCGCGCUCGUCGCGCGCUCAGGGAGGAUGGAGGCGAGUUUCGCUCGGCUCUCGCACUCCCGAGGCGUCUCGUUUCCAAUCAGUGAAUGCAGGCGCGCUCUGAGCACAGAUGCUGGGACCCGAAAGAUGGUGAACUAUGCCUGGUCAGGUCGAAGUCAGGGGAAACCCUGAUGGAGGACCGUAGCGAUUCUGACGUGCAAAUCGAUCGUCGGAACUGGGUAUAGGGGCGAAAGACUAAUCGAACCAUCUAGUAGCUGG